rnacentral:rRNA from 1 species
UAUNGCACAAUGGGGGAAACCCUGAUGCAGCNACGCCGCGUGAGUGAAGAAGUAUUUCGGUAUGUAAAGCUCUAUCAGCAGGGAAGAAAAUGACGGUACCUGACCAAGAAGCUCCGGCUACCUACGUGCCAGCAGCCGCGGUAAUACGUAGGGGGCAAGCGUUAUCCGGAUUUACUGGGUGUAAAGGGAGCGUAGACGGUUUUGCAAGUCUGAUGUGAAAGCCCGGGGCUCAACCCCGGGACUGCAUUGGAAACUGUAUGACUGGAGUGCAGGAGAGGUAAGUGGAAUUCCUAGUGUAGCGGUGAAAUGCGUAGAUAUUAGGAGGAACACCAGUGGCGAAGGCGGCUUACUGGACUGUAACUGACGUUGAGGCUCGAAAGCGUGGGGAGCAAACAGG